rnacentral:rRNA from 1 species
GGAUAACCUACCCUUAGGACUGGGAUAACCUUGGGAAACUGAGGAUAAUACCGGAUAGGCAAUUUUUCCUGUAAUGGUUCUUUGUUUAAAUGUUUUUUCGCCUAAGGAUGGGUCUGCGGCCGAUUAGGUAGUUGGUUAGGUAAUGGCUUACCAAGCCGUUGAUCGGUACGGGUUGUGAGAGCAAGAGCCCGGAGAUGGAACCUGAGACAAGGUUCCAGGCCCUACGGGGCGCAGCAGGCGCGAAACCUCCACAAUGUGAGAAAUCGCGAUGGGGGGAUCCCAAGUGCCAUUCUGAAAGGGAUGGCUUUUCAUUAGUGUAAAAAGCUUUUGGAAUAAGAGCUGGGCAAGACCGGUGCCAGCCGCCGCGGUAACACCGGCAGCUCUAGUGGUAGCAACUUUUAUUGGGCCUAAAGCGUCCGUAGCCGGUUUAAUAAGUCUCUGGUGAAAUCCUGUAGCUUAACUGUGGGAAUUGCUGGAGAUACUAUUAGACUUGAGACCGGGAGAGGUUGGUGGUACUCCCAGGGUAGAGGUGAAAUUCUGUAAUCCUGGGAGGACCGCCUGUUGCGAAGGCGUCUAACUGGAACGGUUCUGACGGUGAGGGACGAAAGUUAGGGGCGCGAACCGGAUUAGAUACCCGGGUAGUCCUAACUGUAAACGAUGCGGACUUGGUGUUGGGGUGGCUUUGAGCUGUC